rnacentral:other from 1 species
UACUUUCUGGAAUAUUCGUUAAGCUCUUAUUUUGAACCUACAUAUUAAUUACGGGAGUUCAAUAUUUAGAUGAAGAAAUGUACUUUCAUGUGAGUCCUUUAACGGCUUUGAAGGCGAUUGAAACCUCUGUGAGGACACCCACCUAUCGGGAGAUAGGUGUCAAAAUUGGAGUACCGGUAUUUUGGAUAUAAU